AUUGAACGCUGGCGGCAGGCCUAACACAUGCAAGUCGAGCGGGGGAAGGGAUCUUGCUCCUGGAGUCAGCGGCGGACGGGUGAGUAAGGCCUAGGAAUCUGCCUGGGAGUGGGGGAUAACGUCCGGAAACGGGCGCUAAUACCGCAUACGUCCUGAGGGAGAAAGUGGGGGAUCUUCGGACCUCACGCUGUCAGAUGAGCCUAGGUCGGAUUAGCUAGUGGGUGGGGUAAAGGCCAACCAAGGCGACGAUCCGUAACGGGUCUGAGAGGAUGAUCAGGCACACUGGAACUGAGACACGGUCCAGACUCCGUCGGGAGGCAGCCGUGGGGCAUGUUCGACACCGGGCGAACGCCUGAUGUAGACAUGCCGCGUGUGUGACGACGGUCUUGGGAUUGUAAAGCACUUUAAGUUGGGAGGAGGGGAAGUCAGUUAAUCCCUUGCUGUUUUGACGUUAACAAAAGAAUAAGCCCCGGCUGACCUCGUG
rnacentral:rRNA from 1 species